rnacentral:rRNA from 1 species
GACAGAGGCCUCAAGCGUUAGGCGGAAUCACUGGGCUUAAAGCGUGUGUAGGCGGAUCGUUAAGUGCCUUGUGAAAUCCCACGGCUUAACUGUAGAACGGCUGGGCAUACUGGCGGUCUUGAGCCAUCUAGGGGCGACUGGAACAAACGGUGGAGCGGUGAAAUGCGUAGAUAUCGUUUGGAACGCCAAUGGUGAAAACAGGUCGCUGGGGAUGAGCUGACGCUGAGACGCGAAAGCGUGGGGAGCGAACAGG